UCUGCGUGCAGUGCGAGCAGUAUGUGUGUUUCUGUUCGCCUCCCAUUGCACUCACAGCUUCAAUUUUGUGCUCCAUCUAGACAGGAGAGCAUGUGGUCAGAAAAAGAAAACUAGGAAAUCCAGCCUCAGGAUUCUGGGACUGCAACACAGUCAACAGAGAGCAAGGGAAGCAGCACAGCAGAAAUCCAAGAUGAAAAUAGGAUUCCGCCAUCAAAUGCACCAUGGGGCCAAGGAGAGACGAAGUUGCUCCUCAACAGCUACUUCCAAUACUCAAGACAGGUUGGACCUAUGAAAAGGUUCAGGAGUAAAAGAGCGAUGUAUGAGCAGAUUGCCAAAGAUAUUUUCAAAGUGUUGCAGAUCACAC